rnacentral:rRNA from 1 species
UCCGGUUUGAACUCAGAUCAMGUAAAAUUAUAAAGGUUGAACAAACCYGCUUAAAUAGCCGCUGCCCCAUAAAGCUCUUUUAAUUCAACAUCGAGGUCGCAAUCAAUUUUACUAAUAAGAUCUUUCUAAAAUUAUAACGCUGUUAUCCCUAAAGUAAUUUAUUCUAUUUGUCCUAAUCUUAAGGACCAAAAACCAAAAAGUCCUUUAAAACACUAGUUUUAUUAAACAAGCUACCCCAGCUAAUUCCUUGUCCGACCUUAACCCCAAAUAAUUCACCUAAAUAAAACUUUUAGGGUCUUAUCGUCCCUCAAUAUAACUAAAGUAUUUUUACUUUAAAUACAAGUUACUAAAUCAACUAAAAGACAAUCCUCUUUGUUUAACCUUUCAUUCCAGCUCUCAAUUAAAAAACAAAUGAUUAUGCUACCUUAGCACAGUCAAAAUACCGCAGCCGUUUAAAAUCUCACUGGGCAGGCCUUACCUUAAUACACUUAAAAAAAUGUUUUUGUUAAACAGGCG